AUGGUCAAGUGAAUAAGAGCAUAAGGCGGAUGCCUUGGCACUGGGAGCCGAAGAAGGACGUGAUAAGCUGCGAUAAGCUGCGGUAAGGAGCACAUAUCCGAUAUACCCGCAGAUUUCCGAAUGGGGGAACCCACAUACGGUAAUGCGUAUGUAUCAUUAAGUGAAUACAUAGCUUAAUGAAGGGAACGGGGUGAACUGAAACAUCUAAGUAGCCCUAGGAAGAGAAAGAAAAAUCGAUUUCCUGAGUAGCGGCGAGCGAAAGGGAAAGAGGCCAAACCAAAUUGUUUACAGUUUGGGGUUGUGGACCACCGACAUUGACGAAGUUAUGCGAGCCGAAUAGGGUUGGAAAGCUCAAGCAGAGAAGGUAAUACUCCUGUAGGCGAAGCAGAAAGCGCAUAGGUGGCACCAGAGUAGGACCGGACACGUGUAACCCGGUCUGAAGCAGGAGGGACCACCCUCCAAGCCUAAAUACUACCCAGUGACCGAUAGCGAAUAGUACCGUGAGGGAAAGGUGAAAAGAACCCCGGGAGGGGAGUGAAAUAGAAUCUGAAACCUGAUGCUUACAAGCAUAGGGAGCGCAAGUGACCUAGUACUUUUUGUAGAACGGGCCAACGAGUUAUGGUAUGUAGCGAGGUUAAGUUGCUGGAGCAACGGAGCCGUAGAGAAAUCGAGUCUGAAUAGGGCGAGAGUUACAUGCUGUAGACCCGAAACCGGGUGACCUAUCCAUGAGCAGGUUGAAGUAACCGUAAAAGGUUAUGGAGGACCGAACCUAUAUCUGUUGAAAAAGGUUAGGAUGACUUGUGGAUAGCGGUGAAAUUCCAAUCGAACUCGGAUAUAGCUGGUUCUCCUCGAAAUAGCUUUAGGGCUAGCCUCAAGGUAAAGAUACACGGGGGUAGAGCACUGACUGUUCGCGGGGCCUUCACCGGUUACCAACAACUAUCAAACUCCGAAUACCGUGCUAUCAUACUUGGGAGUCAGACUAUGAGAGAUAAGUUCCAUGGUCGAAAGGGAAACAGCCCAGAUCAACAGCUAAGGUCCCAAAGAGUAAGUUAAGUGGAAAAGGAUGUGGGAUUGCACAAACAGCUAGGAUGUUGGCUUAGAAGCAGCCAUACAUUUAAAGAGUGCGUAAUAGCUCACUAGUCGAGUGAUCCUGCGCCGAAGAUAAACGGGGCUCAAACUUACCACCGAAGCUUUGGAAUUAGUAUAACUAAUUGGUAGAGGAGCAUUCUAUACAGGUAGAAGGAGGCGCGUAAGCAAAUCUGGACGGUAUAGAAGAGAGAAUGUUGGCAUGAGUAGCGUAAGGCGGGUGAGAAUCCCGUCCGCCGAAAAUCUAAGGUUUCCUGAGGAAGGUUCGUCCUCUCAGGGUAAGUCGGGACCUAAGCCGAGAGCGAACGCUGUAGGCGAUGGACAACAGGUUGAUAUUCCUGUACCACCAAGGAUUGUUUGAAUGAAGUGGGGACACAGAAGGAUAGAUUGAGCACGCCGUUGGUUGAGCGUGUCCAAGCAGCAAGGCUUGAAAGUAGGCAAAUCCGCUUUCUACAAGGCUGAGCUGUGAUGGGGUGGUCGAAUGACCGGUAGCAAUCGAUUUCACGCUGUCAAGAAAAGCCGCUAAUGAGAUCCAAGGUGCCCGUACCGCAAACCGACACAGGUAGAUGAGGAGAGAAUCCUAAGGUGAGCGAGCGAACUAUUGUUAAGGAACUCGGCAAAAUAACCCCGUAACUUCGGGAGAAGGGGUGCCUGCUUCGGCAGGCCGCAGUGAAGAGGUCCAGGCAACUGUUUACCAAAAACACAGGUCUCUGCUAAAGCGAAAGCUGAUGUAUAGGGGCUGACGCCUGCCCGGUGCUGGAAGGUUAAGGGGAAGUGUUAGGGCAACCGAAGCACAGAACUUAAGCCCCAGUAAACGGCGGCCGUAACUAUAACGGUCCUAAGGUAGCGAAAUUCCUUGUCGGGUAAGUUCCGACCCGCACGAAAGGCGUAAUGAUCUGGACACUGUCUCAACAAUAGACUCGGUGAAAUUGUAGUACCGGUAAAGAUGCCGGUUACCCGCAGCAGGACGGAAAGACCCCGUGGAGCUUUACUGUAGCUUGAUAUUGAGUUUCGGCGUUGCAUGUACAGGAUAGGUGGGAGACUAUGAAGCAAGUACGCCAGUAUUUGCGGAGUCAUCGUUGGGAUACCACCCUUGUAACGCUGGAAUUCUAACCAUGUACCGUGAACCGGUGCUGAGACAGUGUCAGGUGGGCAGUUUGACUGGGGCGGUCGCCUCCUAAAGAGUAACGGAGGCGCCCAAAGGUUCCCUCAGCGCGGUCGGAAAUCGCGCGUAGAGUGCAAAGGCAGAAGGGAGCUUGACUGCGAGACAUACAAGUCGGGCAGGGACGAAAGUCGGGCUUAGUGAUCCGGUGGUUCCGAGUGGAAGGGCCAUCGCUCAACGGAUAAAAGCUACCCCGGGGAUAACAGGCUUAUACCCCCCAAGAGUUCACAUCGACGGGGGUGUUUGGCACCUCGAUGUCGGCUCGUCUCAUCCUGGGGCUGGAGUAGGUCCCAAGGGUUGGGCUGUUCGCCCAUUAAAGAGGCACGCGAGCUGGGUUCAGAACGUCGUGAGACAGUUCGGUCCCUAUCCGCUGUGGGCGUUGGAAAUUUGAGUGGAGCUGUCCUUAGUACGAGAGGACCGGGAUGGACAUACCUCUGGUGUACCGGUUGUUCUGCCAAGGGCAUAGCCGGGUAGCUACGUAUGGAAGGGAUAAGCGCUGAAAGCAUCUAAGUGCGAAGCCCACCUCAAGAUAAGAUUUCCUCCGAAAGGUAAGACCCGUGAGAGACUAUCACGUUGAUAGGUCAGAGGUGUAAGUACGGUAACGUAUUCAGCUGACUGAUACUAAUAGGUCGAACACUUGACCAAA
rnacentral:rRNA from 1 species